rnacentral:rRNA from 1 species
UAUACAACUCUCGGCAACGGAUAUCUCGGCUCUCGCAUCGAUGAAAAACGUACCGAAAUGCGAUACUUGGUGUGAAUUGCAAAAUCCCGUGAACCAUCGAGUCUUUGAACGCAAGUUGCGCCCGAGGCCUUUCGGUUGAGGGCACGCCUGCCUGGGCGUCACGC